GCGUGUUCCAGUUCCCGCCAAUAUCCAGCAACUUCGCAUCAGCCGUUGAAGAGGAGUGGGGCAACAUUUUCACAGGCCACAAUGAACAGCCGGAUCAACUCUAUGAGUAGGUGAUGUGUCAAUAUCCAGCAACUUCGCACAGCCGUUGAAGAGGAGUGGGGCAACAUUUUCACAGGCCACAAUGAACAGCCGGAUCAACUCUAUGAGUAGGUGAUGUGUCGCGCUGCGCGAGGCAAAUGGUCGCACCAGAUAAGGACGUUUUCUGAUCCACUUUAAUCUGUUUAUUUUAUGUAUCUGUAUUCCCAGUCAUGUGAAAUCCACAGAUUAGCAAUUUAUUUCAAUUGACUGAUGUCCUUUAUAUGAACUGUACCUCUGUAAAAUCCUUGAAAUUGU